rnacentral:tRNA from 2 species
AGAAAUAUGUCUGACAAAAG